CUUCUCCCUCUUGUCUCUCUCUCACCCUCUCCCUCCGCUCUCUCGCCGCCGUCGCCGCCACGCGCUGCCACCUCCGUCUCCCCCUCGCGCCACCGCGUCUACUGCCGCCGCCGCCGCCGCGUCCACCGCAGCCGCCUCGGGCGGGUCCACCUCUCCUCCACCGCCGCGUCCACUUCCGCCGCCGUCGCCGCGUCCACCGCAGCCGCCUUCGCCGCGUCCACCUCCGCCGCCGCCGCGUCCACCGCAGCCGCCUCGGUCGCGUCCACCUCUGCUGCCGCCGCAUCCAUUUCCGCCGCCGCUGCCGCGACGCUGUCUCCGAGCGCCGUCGCCAUCAUCGAGGCGAGCAGCCAUCUCGAGCGCCGCCGCUGCCAAGUGCCUCCUCCGGCCGCCGGCGUCCGGAUCCGGACUCCAUGUGGUCGGGAGACGUCGAUCUGACCGGCGGAUGUGACGAGGAGCUCGGCCGCGCCACACGGAGCUCAACCUCGGCGGAUUGGGCGACGGCGUCGGCCUCGGCGGUGAAAAGUCUCUGUUGCUGCUGCCGCCGUCGGGCAGUCAAGGUUUUUCCUGCCGGUAGAGUAUGGAAAAAGAAUCUUCCAUGUGCUAGGGCAAGGAAGCCUUUUGUAGUCAGCUCUCUAGACUUGCUUAUGCUUCUGCAGUGAGCACCCAGCAAUAGGUAAAUCUGCUCUCUUGGUUCUCUGAAUUAAAAGGACAUACAACUAUAGCAUGAUGAUCUUGCAGGAAAUUAUCAUGUCUUUUCAGCAAGAUUGCUCUAUAUGAAUCGAGUUGUCGAAAAAGGUGCCAUUUAGUCCACGGGCUUCACGAAAAUCAGUGUUUCAAAGAAACAAACCUUGAAACAUUCCAUGGGGUUCUCAGAUCGCGGAUGGCGGCGGCCACCAGGCGGAUGUGGUCAAGGGAGGACUGGCAGCGCUGAGCAACGACGUCUAGGAAUAGCAUCUCAGGUCAGUCCUCUUGCUCCCUCAUCUCGCUCCUUACAUAUUUCUGGAUUAUUCAGUUGAGGAGAAGGAAUUCACAAAGGAACUGCUCCUGCACCCACUCCCCAAUCGCAACGCGCUGGCCCACUUCCACUCCUCUGCGCAUCCCUCUGCUGCCAACGGACGCUAGCAACAUGUCAAACCCCAAGGCCAUCCCCCAGCUGUGCAAGUCACUGACUUUACGGUAUUGGAGUUCGAGUAGAAGAUCAGCUGCUCCGUCAUCGACGAUGGCCUGAUCCACAGAUGAAUUUUGGUGCUGAUACUUCCAGGGAGUUGGGUGCUCGAAGUUCAGAAAAAGCUGCUAGGUGGAUCAGGACAAUGGAAUCUGCCUUAAAGCCCCCAAGAAAGGAUGAACUUGUUAGCUGUUCACAUACAAGAUGGCAAGCUUUUAGGCUAAGCCGCUGCAGUAACCGCAUGCACUCAAUAGGUUGGACUGUAUUUUCUUCUGUCCAUAACGAUCCUAUGGCAUCUGAUGUUAUUGCACCUUCUCCAUGGACAAUAUUUGACUGUAAAAAUGGAUUCCGUUUGUUUACUGAGGCAAAAGAUGGUGGUUCAGAGGGGAAGGUAAUUCUUGUAUGAAACAAAGGUUGCAUAUCCUUCUUAUGACGAUUCUAGCAAGGUCGGUAUUGCCAUGGGUGCCUUGGAGCUUAAUCAUUUGCCUGAUUCUCAGCAUGCUUGUCUGAAAAGCAGAUUGACCUGAGUUUGUGUGCUAUAGCUGAUGAUGGAAUUUUUUUUAAAAGUAAUAUGAUUUUAAUGGAAAAUCGCAAAACUAUAGGUCAGUUAGGCGAAAUCGCAAGUUUAGCACCCUAUCGAACAACCGUGGUUCGACAAGGUACCUAUCGAACAACCACAGUUCGAUAGGGUACCUGUCGAACUGCGGUAGUUCGACAGGUGAUUAAAAAAAUCAAAAAAAGAGAAAAAUCACUGUUGCACACUGUUCACAAUACCCUAUCGAACUAAGGCAGUUCGAUAUGUGUCUGCGAGCACUGUAGCAUCACUGUUCACGCAACCCUAUCGAACUUUGGCUGUUCGAUAUGUCCCUGCCUAGCAUUGUAGUGAUACUGUUCAUGUAAUUUUUUAUUUGUUUUUGGACCACCUACCCUGUCGAACUGACGCAGUUCGACAUGUACCUGUCGAACUGUGGUUGUUCGAUAGGUAUCCCUGUCGAACCGCGGUUGUUCGACAGGGUGCUAAACUUGCGAUUUCGCCUAACUGAUCUAUAGUUUUGCGAUUUUCCAUUAAAAUCAUAUUGUUUUUAAAAAAAAUUCCUGAUGAACUUCCUGACCCCACUCUCCGUGGACGACCACCGUGCCUCCUUGCGGUCUUCUCAUCGCUCUCUGGUGGAGGUGAUCCAGCACGCUUGAACGGCAGUGAUGUCAACAAUGACCGUGUGUGGACAUCUGAUCCCCCUCCCUAUACACAGG